rnacentral:lncRNA from 1 species
GGGUUGUUCGUGGCUUCCUUGCGUCUUGGCUCUGUUACUGGGCUUGGUCGUCUUCUUCUCUGCUCUCUUUUUGUUACCGCCCUUCCUUCACUACGUAGAUCAGACAGAUUACAUGUAUGCAACGUUCAAUUCAAUUUUACUGAUUUGAAGUGAAGAAAAGGUCUGAUUUGGGGAAAUACAGUUGAAUUGCUGAACGAAUACUUUGCCUUCCCCAGGUCUCUCUCUUUCUUGAUCCAAGCACACAUACACACACUCAGGGCUAAGAUGUACAAAUUUGUGAUAUAUUAAACCAAUAAUAGUUAAUGCUAUCCAAUUUUUAUGUUCCCUAUUUACGUUUUGCAUAUAUGAGAACC